rnacentral:rRNA from 1 species
AUUGAACGCUGGCGGCAGGCCUAACACAUGCAAGUCGAGCGGAGCGGCGGACGGGUGAGUAAUGCCUAGGAAUCUGCCUGGUAGUGGGGGAUAACGUCCGGAAACGGGCGCUAAUACCGCAUACUAUCAGAUGAGCCUAGGUCGGAUUAACUAGGUGGUGGGGUAAAGGCCUACAAAAGCGACGAUCCGUAACUGGUCUGAGCGGAUGAUCAGUCACACUGGAACUGAGACACGGUCCAGACUGCUACGGGAGGCAGCAGUGGGGAAUAUUGCACAAUGGGGGCAAGACUGAUGCAGCCAGGCCGCGUGUAUGAAGAAGGACUUCGGGUUGUAAAGUACUUUCAGCGGGGAGGCGUUACCCGCAGAAGAAGCACCGGCUAACUCCGUGCCAGCAGCCGCGGUAAUUC